rnacentral:rRNA from 1 species
AUUGAACGCUGGCGGAAUGCUUUACACAUGCAAGUCGAACGGCAGCACGGACUUCGGUCUGGUGGCGAGUGGCGAACGGGUGAGUAAUGUAUCGGAACGUGCCCAGUCGUGGGGGAUAACGUAGUGAAAAUUACGCUAAUACCGCAUACGAUCUAUGGAUGAAAGCGGGGGAUCGCAAGACAUCGCGCGAUUGGAGCGGCCGAUAUCAGAUUAGGUAGUUGGUGGGGUAAAGGCCCACCAAGCCAACGAUCUGUAGCUGGUCUGAGAGGACGACCAGCCACACUGAACUGAGACACGGUCCAGACUCCUACGGGAGGCAGCAGUGGGGAAUUUUGGACAAUGGGCGAAAGCCUGAUCCAGCCAUUCCGCGUGCAGGAUGAAGGCCCUCGGGUUGUAAACUGCUUUUGUACAGAACGAAAAGGUUUCUACUAAUACUAGGAGCUCAUGACGGUACUGUAAGAAUAAGCACCGGCUAACUACGUGCCAGCCGCCGCGGUAA